UACCCAUCCAGUACACAACAGGCUAAAACCUGUGUGCGGGCAAGGGCUUGCGUCCGGCGUUUCUGGCUCCUGAUGAACAAAGAAUGAGGGGAGGAAAAUAUAUGAGAUCCUGAUCUGCUUACAUCCUCAUUUGGAAUCAAAUGUGUAAUGACAAGGGAGAGAGCUGAGCUUUGUCUCCAUUUUACGUAACUGCAGAAUUUAUCACAGCUUGGCUUCUAGGUGGUUGCAGUAAAGGCAAGAGAUUGUCCCAAGGCAUAUUUGAAAUGAAGACACCUGGAAGUUGAAGAUACACCUGCUAGUUUUCCAGUGCACACAGAGGAUGCAGCUCUGUGACCCUCCUUACCACAUCUGUGCACUGCUGGAUCAGUUGACUUUACACAAAAAGCCAGCAGGAACAAUACAGCACGUGAUGGUGCUGACAUCACAGCUUUACAUGACUGCCCCCAUAGUCACUCCUCAAACUGCAACAGCAUGCAGAGUACCAAAAAUGGGAAAGUUAUUUCUGCUGAAUGCAGUGAUGGGAAAGGUUACCGUGCAGCUAGAGGUUUGGCAAGGGCACUGUCAGCAUCACUUGCUUCUCUCUUGGGUUCCAAAGAUGCACGUCUGUCCUGCGCAGACGCAGCGUCUGACAGAAGAGCCAGGAUGAUGCACAGACAGGAAAAUCUGCAGUACAGGGAGGACUUGAGGACUUUCCUUUGAGCAAGGAAAGACAAUGCUGGGAUUAUCCCUGUGGAUAAUAACCUUUGCCUGCUGGAGAAGAUAAAUGUUAGAUGGCACAUCUCAAUGUAAGAGUGCUAAUUUCAUAGUGAGUUACAGAGCUUUAACAGGUGCCGUGGGAACAGGCAGUUCUGUUCCUGUCAACACCAGGACUCUCCUGUCUGCAGAGUGAGCUGGUACACAGAGCUAAACCAGCAAAAGGUACUGCUGGAAAAGGCAGCAAGCAGACUUCUGAAGGUUUAACUCCAUGAAAAUCAGCUUGUAGUGGGCUAAAAACGAGGGUUAGCACUGAAUAGAGAAGAGAGGAAGGGGCAGGAGUGCCCCUUUAAGGAAGAGCUGCUCAAUUUAGCAGUGCAAAACUGCAGCUUAAAAAGCCUUGUCCUUGUAAUGCCAAGCAGAAAUCUCCCUGCAUCGGAACACUGGAGGAAAAGCAUCAAAAGUCAGGAGAAGAUUCAGGAGACAACAAUCCCUCUUUAGGACAUUCCUGUGUUACCAGCAAAAUUUUGGUCACACACUCUUCUAUUCUCAUGGAUUUCUCAUGUGAGGGUCAUGAACAAGCACAUUUGUUUCCUACCCAGUUUCUCCAAGUUUUAUGUAAACAGGCAGUACUGUUUCACCCUUUGGCUUGAGUUGUCUGAAGACCACCUAGGACUUGUUAAUAUUAUUGCUGGUGGGUAGCCCAGUAGUGUCCACAUUCCUGCCGUCCUGGUUGUUGAGAGCCGCACAAGCUGGCUGAAAUCCUUGCAUUUUAUUAAUCAAGGUAGCUAAGUAAAUACAGUUACUAUUUGGAAGUGAGAAGGUCAUGAGGCAGCAGAAGAUGAAAUGAAAGUUGAAACAAAGUCUCAGCUAGAUACCAUUAAUGUCUGCUUGUGGAAAACAGUUGAUAAGGAAUAACUCUUUGCUGUCUCCUCCAAAUUAAAAAAAGUAAUUUAAAAAACUAAUCAACUGAAACUAAUGGAGUCCGAGUCAAAAGGUGCAAAAAGAGGUGGUUCUUCACCAACUGAUAGUAGACCUCUAGUGUAACUUGCUGCAGGAUGCUCUGGAUCCAAGAAGUUUAUAUGGCCUCACCCUACAGACAGUUUUAAACCAGGGAGGAGAAGGAAACGGAAAAAAGGAACGAGAGAGGGAAAAAAGAGACUCCAGUUCAGAGACUGCCUAGCGCUGCUGAAGACCCUCCACAAAACCUGCUGUUCCACAGAUCCACACUGAAGCUGCUCUGUAAGCCAUGUAGCCAGAGACUCAGCACUUUGCCCAGUUCUACAAGACUUCUUGAAUGAAAGCUGAAAUGUAGCUGGCAUCCUCUCCUGCUACUGGAAACGGAAUGAAAUCUUGAAAUCAGAGAACCAAGAACACCAAAUACACUGGAAAGAAGAUAUGAUCAAAUCAAGUGCAAUUGAAAAAAUCCAGAAAAUUUGCAAAUGGCAUGACUACAACCAAAUGUACUGAGAUGAAAAGAGGUGCAGUGAAAAGGACCGAAAGUUGCUCAAAUUAUUCCCACUGAAAUCCCAAAAGCAGGCCAGAAAGGGCUCUGCUGUGAGAGGAGUACUAAUGAGGUCCACAUCUCACCAUAUCCACACCAGGGAAUUUAUCUCUGAAGUGCUUAUUCCCUACUGGGGACUGUGCCACCAGGUAACAUCAGGCUCUUGAGCUUUAAACUAUCCCAUGAUCUAUGUGACAAAUACAACAACACAGAGAUAGAAUAAUUAGUGAGGGCACUGGAAUUCAUCCUUCUGCAAACCCAUAAUGCCAGCCAGCCAAGCCCUCAAGAAGACAAUUAAUUCUCUGAAAAUUUCCCUUUCAGCCACAAGUGCUGGAAAGGUUGUCUAAAUAUAAGAGACAAUUAAGCAGAUUUUGGCUUGUGUUAUCCUCAGACACAGAUUCUGUCUGCAAGAAGCCCUUCAUAAGCAAGGGGGUGUUUGGUGCCACAAAGCACUCUCAUCUGCAGGCAUUAAGGAGUGAUCAGCACCAGCAACCAUAGAUGUGACGUGGGACAGCUCCCAGGGGCAGCAGCUGGAAGGCUCGGGGGAACACCUCCCUAGUGGUUCAGCUCUUAUUUCUUAAGCAUAGGGAUUUGUCUGAGCCAUGCUACUCCCUGUGUAGAUUUAAAGGUCUGUAUGAGGGUCAGCUCGAGCCAAGUUAACCUCAGAGCCCUGACAGUGAUGUGCAGUGAGCUGCAGUGCACGCCAGGCUGCAAAGCACAGUUACUCAAGCACAUAUUCCACCUAUUGCUCUAGAGUAAAGUGUUUGGCCACCACAGUGUUCUGAAUAUGUGUCUGCCCAAAACAAAAUACAUGGUUGUGCAGAUCUCUUUUCUCUUUGGCACCAUUUCUGCAGCUCUAAAACAGCCAUGGCUUCUCUCAUGCAGCCCCCUGAGCUGCACAGCACAUUAAGUAAUGCCACAACAGCUUUUCCAAGGGUCUGAUUCUGCUCCAUGACUCUCCAGCAUCCCUAGUUUGCCAGUUCCCAGCAUAUACACAAGCAGAAAAGUUCUCUUGUGACUACUGUCAAAUUCAGGCACUGAAUGGCAAGGAGGGGAAGCAACAGGCACAGGCUAUUCUGGACAGGCAGAAAGCUGGAACACGAAGAGCCUGGCAGGUCAGUCCAUUCUUCAUUACUUGCUCUGUCUCCUCACCACCACCUUCUGCCUUUCCAGAGGAAAAUAUGUCCCCUCCCCAGCACAGAGAUAAGCCAAGAGCCUUGGCUGCUGCUGCUCUCUGUGGGAAGUCACUUCACUUUAUUUUUUGUCUGUUUAACCCAUGUUUAUGUUUCAGAAUUUCUCCUGUCACAUUGAGUUACAAGCCCUUGGAAUAGGAUAAAGGCUCCUUUUUCUUCCCUGGGGACUGUUCCUUUUGGAUAGUAGUAACAACCCUCCUUAGCUGUCCUGCAUAGGUGCCCCCCACCCCUCCUCAUCUGUUGCUGGGAGGGUAUCUCCUGGAAGCUCAGAAGCCAUUUCUUCAGGCUAGGCUGAUUUCAUGUUACAAGGCUGGCCUGAUCAUCCUAUGCUGCUCUGGACUGUGCUGCUGAGAGGAAGGAAAAUGAACUCCCUGUCUGGUGAAAAAUGCUCUCCAUGACCCUAGCUCUGCUGUCUGACUGAGAUGGAAAUAUGGACAUAAAGCACUGGCUCUGGCAGGCAGCUUCAUGGAAGAGGAGUGACUUGGGCAAAAUACUGAUGGGCUCUGCACUCAAAGUAUAACACACUGACCAAACUGUAUAAACAAGGAAACUUGAAGUGUUCCUGACAGCUGCACUGGGGCUUCAAUCCCAUUUUGGGUUGGGUUGUUGUUGUUUGGGUUUUUUUUUUUUUUUUCCAAAGCUAGAACAAAAAAGGAAGAAAAACAAAAUAAGAGCAUUAAAAAAAAAAUCAUUCCCUAUUUAAAGAAAAGAUGAUUUUAAGGUUUUUUUUUUUUUGCUUUACCAAAUCCUUUUCACAUUCAAGGAAGAAAAUGGUGGUUUUAUGCUUAAACUGACAUCCCUAAUUUCAAAGGUAAAAGUAGCCAUGGCUAUGUAAUAGCCGGGUGCUUCAUGAUCUAGGCUCCACACUCUAGUAGACAGGUAGGUACACAUGAAAAUUCAGGCAAGAUCUGCCUUGGGUGGCUGUGAAGCACCAGCCACAAGACGGUAUCACAUAAGCUUCUGAAAGAGGGAAUAAAGACCCUCACCAAAUGAUUAUGCUCUGCUUUUGUUAAGCACGUUUUUAACUUCAGCAGCUAAAUAACAUACUGGCUCACAGCUGCUUUAUUUAAAGUUGCAUUGAUCUUACUCUGUUGGGAGCUUAUAAUGAAUACCAGAUCCCAUAUCCCUUAUAUUUUCUAUGGAGACGGGCAGAAGGAAAACACUUAAAACAAGGCAAGCUUUCUUUAAGAUGCAGGGGAGGGUGGGAAUCCCCCUCAAGCAGUAAUAUUCCUCUGCUCCCUCACUAGACUAAGAAGGAGACACAUAAAAGUUCUAAAUAACUUUCUUUUUCUUGGUUAUGGAACACAAUAAAGUAAUAAAGAUCUUUUGGA